rnacentral:rRNA from 1 species
GAUGAACGCUAGCGGGAGGCCUAACACAUGCAAGCCGAGCGGUAUUUGUUCUUCGGAACAGAGAGAGCGGCGCACGGGUGCGGAACACGUGUGCAACCUGCCUUUAUCUGGGGGAUAGCCUUUCGAAAGGAAGAUUAAUACCCCAUAAUAUAUUGAGUGGCAUCACUUGAUAUUGAAAACUCCGGUGGAUAGAGAUGGGCACGCGCAAGAUUAGAUAGUUGGUGAGGUAACGGCUCACCAAGUCAAUGAUCUUUAGGGGGCCUGAGAGGGUGAUCCCCCACACUGGUACUGAGACACGGACCAGACUCCUACGGGAGGCAGCAGUGAGGAAUAUUAGGCGAUGGGUUAGCGCCUGAUCCAGCCCUCCCGCGUGAAGGACGACGGCCCUAUGGGUUGUAAACUUCUUUUGUAUAGGGAUACACCUACUCUCGUGAGAGUAGCUGAAGGUACUAUACGAAUAAGCACCGGCUAACUCCGUG